UACGUAGGGUGCGAGCGUUGUCCGGAAUUAUUGGGCGUAAAGCGCGCGCAGGCGGUCCCUUAAGUCUGAUGUGAAAGCCCACGGCUCAACCGUGGAGGGUCAUUGGAAACUGGGGGACUUGAGUGCAGAAGAGGAAAGUGGAAUUCCACGUGUAGCGGUGAAAUGCGUAGAUAUCGGGAGGAACACCAGUAGCGAAGGCGGCCAUCUGGCUGGUAACUGACGCUGAGGUGCGAAAGCGUGGGGAGCAAACAGG
rnacentral:rRNA from 1 species